UACAGAGGGUGCAAGCGUUGUUCGGAAUUAUUGGGCGUAAAGCGCGUGUAGGCGGCAGUGCAAGUCGGGUGUGAAAGCCCUCAGCUCAACUGAGGAAGUGCGCUCGAAACUGCAUUGCUUGAGUACCGGAGAGGAUGGCGGAAUUCCCGAAGUAGAGGUGAAAUUCGUAGAUAUCGGGAGGAACACCGGUGGCGAAGGCGGCCAUCUGGACGGAUACUGACGCUGACACGCGAAAGCGUGGGUAGCAAACAGG
rnacentral:rRNA from 1 species